AGCAGCCGCGGUAAUUCCAGCUCCAAUAGCGUAUAUUAAAGUUGUUGCAGUUAAAAAGCUCGUAGUUGAAUUUCGGGAUCAAUACGUCGGUCGUGCCUCCGGUAUGAACUGGCGUUGUUGGUUUCUCCUUUCUGAGGAGCCAUGAUGCCAUUAAUUUGGUGUCGUGGGGAAUCAGGACUGUUACUUUGAAAAAUUAGAGUGUUUAAAGCAGGCACACGCUUGAAUACAUUAGCAUGGAAUAAUGAAAUAGGACGUUCGAUUCUAUUUUGUUGGUUUCUAGGAUCAACGUAAUGAUUAAUAGGGAUAGUUGGGGGCAUUAGUAUUCAAUUGUCAGAGGUGAAAUUCUUGGAUUUAUUGAAGACUAACUACUGCGAAAGCAUUUGCCAAGGAUGUUUUCAUUAAUCAAGAACGAAAGUUAGGGGAUCGAAGACGAUCAGAUACCGUCGUAGUCUUAACCAUAAACUAUGCCGACUAGGGAUCGGAUGGAUGUUAAUUUUAAUGUACUCAUUCGGCGUCCUUA
rnacentral:rRNA from 1 species